UUCGAAAACGAAGGAAAAGAGAAGAGAAUCACUUGUGGACUUGUGCAUAAAGUACAAUAUUAAGUGUAUUUUCAUUUCAACUUUCCCCCCACAAAAUGCCCCAUUUUUGCUAGUUUUUCGAGUGAAUAUCGCAGUGCUAAGUGCCCCAAACGCAAUUCAUGUGUCUUUUAUGUGGAAUUCAACGGGAAUUUGGGGAAAAUUGAGGAAAAAAUAAACCCCUUUUGACAGACGGGAAAUGGUAGCUUUUUACGGGCGACGACGCAGUGAAUAGGUGGCGUUGUUGACGUAUCAGCAAUUUGUGGGGUUCUGAGGAGGAAUACGGUGUGUGAUAGUGAUAUUUUUUUUUAUAAAGUGAAAUCUCUUGCUUUAGGAAAAACAAAUUAAAAUAAAUUAUAUGAACUGAUGAGAAUAAUAGUGGUGGAGUAUGGCAACCCGAGAAAGAAAAGCCAAAUUGAGUGCAGAAUCACCCACUCCGAGUGCUGGGAAUGAAUCUACGCCAACAACUCCGACAAAUGCCAGUGCCGGAGGUGGAAAGGGUGGGCGUAAGGUGUCAAGUGGUGGAGCAUCUGUUGGCACAACAACGGGAAGGGUGAGGUCAACACGUGGAACAAAUGCGCAACAGGUGGCUGAAGAAGGGGAGCUCGAGAAGGAGAAGGAAAAGACGGAGGAGAAUGCUGAGGUGGUGAGUGAGCCAGUGGCAGUUAAAACGCCACGAACACCACGUGCAAGUAGGGCAACAACGACUGUAGCCCAGAAAGCGGCUGAAGCAAAAGCAGCAGAAGCAAAAGCAGCCGAAGCAAAAGCAGCCGAAGCAAAAGCAGCCGAAGCAAAAGCAGCCGAAGCAAAAGCAGCCGAAGCAAAAGCAGCAGAAGCAAAAGCAGCAGAAGCGAAGGCAGCAGAAGCAAAAGCAGCAGAAGCAAAAGUAGAAGAGACAAAGGAAGCUUCAGAAGAAAAAGGGGACGAUGCAUCAGUUGAAGUGAAAAAUAAUGAGGAGGCUGCAGGUGAUGCUGCCGAUGAGGAAUCACAGAAGACUACCACUUCUAGUCCAAGGACACUUAGGAAGUCUGCAACACCCACAGCAAAAGGCAGUGGAGGAAAACGACGGAGACGUGUUAAGCGUGAUGGUGUAGUACGUCCAAGGGCUAUAAUGAAGAGAAAAACUAUGCCAGCAAUUCCUAGUCGUUCUGCUUCAGCUGCUGCAAUGGUAACAAGGCGCAAUAGUAUUGCCAAGAUUGAAGCCAUCGCUAAGGCUAUCAAAGAGGAGACCGUUGCUGUUCGGAAGUCCACAAGAACUCGUCGUAAGACAAAGAUUGCGGAUGAAGAGCCUGUGAAGCGGAAGCGAAAGCGAAUGAUGUCAGAGCAGGAAAAAGUAGAAGAGCCACCGAAGGAAGAUGCAGAAAUGAAACAGCCAGAAAAGGUGACUAAGAGUGAAGUUCUGUCGGAUACGGAAUUAAUAAGGAGGCGUUCCGAUUCUGUGUCAAAGUACUCAGACACAACGGAUAACUCAAGCUUCUACGAUGCUGCAACAUUUAAGAGUGGACCAGAGGAAUGGGGUCGUGAUAGCAAUGCAACACCCAAAGUUGAUGCUGAAAAUGAGGAAGUUAAGGUGGAAAAUGUUGAAAUGGAGGAAGAAUCAACUGCUGCUGAGGCCAAACCGGCAGCGGUAAAAGAAGAAACAAAAGUAGAGGAGACUGAAACAGUCCGGGUGAAGAAGAAAAGGCAGACAAUUCUAGUGAGACGAAGUCGACGAGCUCGAAAGAGUACGCAAAAAGAGAGUGAAGUGGAAGUAGCAGCAGUUGUUGCAAAGACAGCUAAAGUGGCUGAGAAUAAGACUGAUGGAUCAGAGUCUGUGAUGAAUUCCGUGGAGGACACAGAUGUCAACACUGCAAAAGGUGCUCCGCUGCAUGUUGAGACGGUCGUGAAGGAAUCAACAGCAGUGGAUGAUGAGGCAAAAGAAGGCAACGAAGAGGUUGACGUGAAGAAGACUAAAGCGUCAUCCUUGAGUCCGGAACUUGUGAGUGAAGGUGUAUCACCCAUAAGUGUUCAGCAAUUUUAUGGGCAACCGGCAUUUCUGGAGAAUAAUUUGGGUAUUGAGGAAGAUCCCAAACUUCGUGAGAUUGUUCAAGUCAAAGAGAAAAUUAAGCAAGUAGAAAGUACGGAGACUCAGGAGGAUGCAAAGGAAGAAAUGAAGAUGGAGGAAAAAGUGGAGAAGGUUGAGGAAAAAGAGGAAGAAAGUGAGAUCAAGGAAAUUGUAAAUGGAACAACCGAGGAUGAAAUUAAAGAUGAUUUGAAAACUGAGGAAGACAACAAGCCUGAGGAGAAGGAAAUUGUCAUGGAUACGGAGGAGAAGAAGGAAGAAGCUGUUGAAGAGGAAGUGCCGAAAGUUGAGGAAGUGGAAGAAGAAAACAAAAAUACCGAAGAUAUCACGGAGACCAUUGCUGAAAAUCUAGAUUCAAAUGAAGCCACAGAAGAUCAAAGUAAGACAAAUGACAAGGAGAAUGUUGUGUCAAAUGGAGAAGCUCCGCAACAAAUGGAAAAAGAUGACAAACUCACAAUGGUUGAUGAUACCUCCAAGUCACCACUUUUAGAAUCUCCAGAGACUCGUCUGAAGAAGGAGUGUCACCUGAAAUCCCUAGGACUUUUGACGCAUGAAGCUGCUGUGGAGGCAAAAAUUGAGAAAGCACGUCGUCGUGAAUUUUUCAAAAGUACAGCCAACAAUUCUUCCCUAUCCUCGGCAUCGUCAACAUCAUCGGGUUCUUCAGUGUCUUCACAGCAAUCGAAUGGUACGAGAAAUGGGAAGAGUGGACGUGGACAUGGUGGUGGACAAGAAUAUACAGGUACCCUGAAGACUGUGAUAAAGCUCCAUCGACCGCAAUCGCAGGAGAAGCGCAAGACCAGAAUGCCACUUAAGAUGACAUUCCAGAAGGGUAGAGUUAAAUCGGCAAACAGUGGCAAUGAUAAGGAUCAAGUUAAUCUCUCCAAUUCUGACGAUGACACCUACUACACAAUACAGAAUGAGACGGAUGGACCGAAUGCUGAUACAGUUCAUGGUGGGAUAAGUCGAAAAACUCAUUACCGCUCUCACACUGGUGAUUCAGCUGCAAAUACAAGUGUUUCAGCUGAACCAUCCAAAGAGGUGCAAAAGGCUCUGGUGAUACCAGAGAAAGCAUCUUCGUUUAGUAUUCAUCCAGGACGGCUGUGUCAGGAUCAAUGUUUCUACUGUGGUGGGAAGUUUGGUCUUUUCGAUACUCCCUGCCAUGUAGCACAAAUUAAAUCUCUGGAGCGUCAGAAGAAGAUUCUAGACAAUGAGGAGAAAUUGACCGUUGAUAAUUGCUUAUGCGAUGCAUGCUACCGUCAUGUUGAUCGUCGUGCCAAUUGUCCAUCGUAUAGGAAUAAGAGGCAAUCUGCUGCACUUGCAACAUCUGACUACAAUAAAGAAGAAACUGCUGCUGAUUCAAUUCAACAUGAACCAGAAGAAGUUAGAUCAUCUGCACUGUGUCUUGUGACUGGAUGCGGUGAGGCAUCGUCACAUUUGUUGCGCAGAAAAUGGUUCUCAAAGAUGCGAAAGCCCAUCAAUAAGUUGAUUAGGUUGAAUGUUGAUGUCUCAAAUGCUCAUGGAUUGGGCCAAGUGCCAAUUUGUCAUAAACACUAUGAUAUCAUAAGUCACCUAAUGGUGUGUGUCUUAUGCAAGAGAAAACUGCCAAGAAAUCAUAUUUUCUACAUUAAUCAGGAAAUAAAGCGCUUGGAGCAAUUAAUUAGGAAACAGGGUAUCCCUGUGAUUCUAGGAACUAAUGCUGUUGUAUGCAAAUUGUGCAGAUAUUAUACAAAUCUUUUGUUAAAGCCACCAGAUCGUAAGACACAGAGAGCACAGUUUGUCAGGAGUUACCGACGUCGUUUGCUAUCUUUUCACAAUGUUGAGAUGUUGGAGGCAUCUGAUGACAAGGAGGGUGGUGAUCAGAGGACACAGCCGGCCAAAAGGCGUGGUAGGAAGUCACCGGAUGAGGAACAGGAGAAUGAUCAAGAGUUGUCUGAUCAGAAUGAUUCGUCACAAAAUACCUCAGGGCAGAUAGUCUUGGAUAAUGAUGUGAUGGUAGAUUAUGAUGUUCCAGUUUUGGAUGGUGGUGCAUUUGCAGUGGGACAAAAGGGGAAGCAGCAGCAGCAGAAGAUGCAGAGUUUACUGUUGCCGCGGAAUCAGCAAUUGCGUGAGAAGCAACAGAGAUUGCAGGCGAUACAGAAGGAAAAUGAGAUUUCGCGAAUGCUGAGGACAAAUCCGAAUAUUUCGAUGAGGGAGUUGUUUCCGGGUGAGGAUGAAAUGGGUUUACAGGUGUAUUUGCCAUUUGGUCAAGGUGGUCAUAGGACACCGGAAGGAUGGACAAGAGCUACAAGUAUCCUGCAGUAUGAUGAUGCAACGAAAAUGUUGUGGGAAGAACUGCAGAAGCCCUAUGGCAAUCAAUCGAGUUUCAUAAGGCAUUUGGUGUUACUGGAGAAAUAUUUCCGGAAUGGUGAUCUUAUUCUAUCGCCAGCAGCUAGUAGCAAUGCCGUAACGUACUCAGAAUCUGUGCAGAAUCGUCUGAAGUCCUUUGAUAAUGUCACAUCGGAUAGUUUGAGUAUUUUUCAUCAACUCAGCAAUGCUCCAAUCACAAUAACACCUGCCAAUCCAAAAGGGAGAACUAGCUCGGGUGCUAGGUAUAGCGAUGGUGCAUCGGGAUCAUCAACGAGUCUCCUCAAGUCCAAUAAUACCCGGAAGGAGGAUGGAUUUGGAAGUCCGGAUAAGGGAUACAGUAAGAGUCAGGAGGGAGCUGCUAGUGGUGGUGUUAGUAUUAUUAAGAAGUCAUCUGCUGGAGGUAUUCCGCCGGAUUUGAUUAGUAUCACAACAACGCCGUCUAAUAAGUCCUCAGCAGCGGGAAUUGAUACAAUUACCGUAACAGCCACGGGAGGUCAGAAGGGAACUUCUCCUCCCGUUGCUGGUGCUACUCCUUCGCCCCCGCCUAAUACUGUGCCGCCUCAUGUCAAUCCCAAGGAUGUCAUAGUGAAAUUGCCAGAAUCACUGAGUCCGGCUGAGAGGCGACUGGUCAAUGGUAAAGCCUGGAGGCCAACUUUGAUGCCAAUUGCACCACUUGAGCGUGAUUCCAGCCGGGAUGGUGUCAAUACACUGUAUCAGACUGCCGACGGACGUCUCCUGCCGAGUCGGGUGCAAGUGAUGUCCGGCGGAAAGCCCUAUCACAUAUCAAUCUAUGAUUACAAUAGAAUGUGCAUACUGCGUCGAGAGAAGAUUCUGCAGAAGGCCAUGGCGGCACAGCAGGGAAAACCUGAAAAUGGUCAGAAGGCAGGAGGAUCCGGAGGAGGAGAAAGAUCUCCACCGUCGCAACAGCCAACAGCAUCGACAUCUAAGGGAAAAGUUAGCAUACCAAAUAAGAUUUUGGAGCAGAAUUCGGUGUUGCCAAUUGGCUCAAAGUCCAGUGGGACAACAUCAUCGUCAGAGUUGCAGUCGUUGAUAAAGGUGCGAAAGCCCAAUCCGACAUCAUUGCUCAAGAAUCAGAUUCCAAUAGCUCCGAAGCCACCAGUUCAGCAGCAACCAUCUGCCAUUUCGGCUAUUGUGUCCCUAUCUACGACAACUACUAUGCCAAAUGCCAAUCCUAUGAUGUCAAUUAUUGAUCUGAUGAAGACUACAACCUCAUCACCGUCUGCCGCCACAUCCAUGUGGUUGCUCAAUGAACCACUCAAUGGACCAGCAACUGGUGCAGGGGCCAUUGUAACGGACACCUCGGCAGCAUCACUUCUGUCCAAGAUACCAAAAUCACUCACAGUGAUUCCGCAGCAGAAGGGAAGUCGAUCGGGAUCGAGGGUAUCCUCCGGCGAGGACCAAAGUAGUGCCUAACAAAAGUGUUUCAAUUUCCUCAAUCAAAUGGGAAAGGAAAUCAUUUUAUCUCAGUAGCGGCCUCGCUCUUGCAUCCAUACAAAAACACGAUAAAUUGUGGCUGAAAAAGGAUAAAAUUUUAUCAUAUAUAGAUUUUGAUUAGGGAAUGAAAUCGAUAAAAGACAAUUCCAUAUUUUUCUAUGGACAACCUUGAAUUAAAGUAAAAAAGAAAUAUAUAAGAAAGAAGAAAAAAUAUGCUUGAUAAACAGAGAAAAAUGUUAAGCAAUAAAGUGUAUUUAACUGAUGUGACUUUGAUUGAAGGUAAAAGAUGCAUAAAAAAGUUAGCGAUGAGGAAUUUUUUCAAGCAAUACCGAUUGUUUAUUUUAUUGCUUUCACUGGGAAAAAUUAUUGAGCAAAAGAUAUUUUUAAGCACCCAGAUGAAAGGGAAUAAUGAUAAUCUUAUUUGAGACAUAAGAGAAUAUUUUUUUAUCACAAAUUUCACUGACUUAUUGUAACAAAUAAAUUAAAUAUUAGUGAUAUGGAUGAUCACCCAAGAAAUAUAUUAAUGUAAAUAUUAAAGAAAAAAAAAACACAAUUUUUGCAUGUAGACUAAUAAGAAAACAGGAAAGUUGCGCGAGAGUGAAAAAUACGAGAUAGAAGACAGCAACAAAAUUAGGUUUAAAUGUGGCCUUUGGAGUAAUAAAUUUCGCGGGAGAAUAUAUAUUGUAAAAAAAAACAAAAAAUAAAAGGAUAUUUUAUUGCCACUUUUACUAACAAAGCAUAAUCACGUGUUAUCACACCACAAAAUUUUUUUGGGAAAGAAGUUUGUGCGGUAGACAAUAUAGUGGAUUUUUUUUUUUUAAUUUGCCUCGUGUUAAGAUCAUAAUUUGUUUUUCUAGAUAGUUUUAUAAUGUAUCACACCUUCCUUUAUUGCCCCACAAACACUAAAAAAAAAUCAUUGAAAAAAUUUACAUUAGUUUUUUCUUCUCUUUCCAUAUUUACAAAUUAUUGAAUGUAGUAUUUUCAAUAAAAUUAGUGGUUUACGAUUGAAGAAAAAUUAUAUAGGUUUUUUUCCGAAUAUCAUUUGUACUUUCUCUUGUAUUUUGAAUCGAGUUUCUCUUGAUUCUAGCAACUAUCCAAAACAUUGUAUCAAUAUUUAUAGUAUGUAUUUUUUGAGCAUAUUAGUUUGAGAUGGAAAAAAAUAUAUAUAUUGACAACAAAUGAAAACUGUUCCACAUUCAAUAAAAUAUAAAUAUUAUAUAUAUUUAAUAGGGAUAUUUAUACAUAAUGUCCAAUUUUCGAAUUGAGCAUACAAUAAAAAUUGAUCACUCAAAA